CCUACGGGUGGCAGCAGUGGGGAAUAUUGCGCAAUGGGCGAAAGCCUGACGCAGCGACGCCGCGUGAGGGAUGAAGGUCUUCGGAUCGUAAACCUCUGUCAGCAGGGAAGAACGGUCACUGUGCUAAUCAGCAGUGAAUUGACGGUACCUGCAAAGGACGCACCGGCUAACUCCGUGCCAGAAGCCGCGGUAAUACGGAGGGUGCGAGCGUUAAUCGGAAUUACUGGGCGUAAAGCGCUCGUAGGCGGUAUGUCAAGUCAAGGGUGAAAUCCCCGCGCUCAACGUGGGAACUGCCUUUGAAACUGGCAGACUGGAGUGUGUGAGAGGAGAGUGGAAUUCCAGGUGUAGGAGUGAAAUCCGUAGAUAUCUGGAGGAACAUCAGUGGCGAAGGCGACUAUCUGGCACAUAACUGACGCUGAGGAGCGAAAGCGUGGGUAGCAAACAGGAUUAGAUACCCGGGUAGUC
rnacentral:rRNA from 1 species